rnacentral:rRNA from 1 species
UACGUAGGGGGCUAGCGUUGUCCGGAAUCAUUGGGCGUAAAGCGCGUGUAGGCGGCCGAGUAAGUCUGCUGUGAAAGUCCAGGGCUCAACCCUGGGAUGCCGCAGAUACUGCUUGGCUAGAGUACGGGAGGGGCGAGUGGAAUUCCUGGUGUAGCGGUGGAAUGCGCAGAUAUCAGGAGGAACACCUAUGGCGAAGGCAGCUCGCUGGAACGUUACUGACGCUGGAGAACGCGAAAGACCGUGGGGAGCAAACAGG